rnacentral:rRNA from 1 species
AAACUAACAAGGAUUCCCCUAGUAGCGGCGAGCGAAGCGGGAAGAGCUCAAAUUUAUAAUCUGGCACCUUCGGUGUCCGAGUUGUAAUCUCUAGAAGUGUUUUCCGCGUUGGACCGCACACAAGUCUGUUGGAAUACAGCGGCAUAGUGGUGAAACCCCCGUAUAUGGUGCGGACGCCCAGCGCUUUGUGAUACACUUUCAAUGAGUCGAGUUGUUUGGGAAUGCAGCUCAAAUUGGGUGGUAAAUUCCAUCUAAAGCUAAAUAUUGGCGAGAGACCGAUAGCGAACAAGUACCGUGAGGGAAAGAUGAAAAGCACUUUGGAAAGAGAGUUAACAGUACGUGAAAUUGUUGGAAGGGAAACGCUUGAAGUCAGACUUGCUUGCCGGAGCUUGCUUCGGUUUGCAGGCCAGCAUCAGUUUUUCGGGGUGGAUAAUAUAAUGACGGUUUGAAGGUAGCAGUCUCGGCUGUGUUAUAGCUUUCCGUUGGAUACAUCCUGGGGGACUGAGGAACGCAGCGUGCUUUUUGCGAAAGACUCGUCUUUUUCACGCUUAGGAUGCUGGUGGAAUGGCUUUAAACGAC